rnacentral:rRNA from 1 species
ACGAACGCUGGCGGCGUGCUUAACACCUGCAAGUCGAACGGAAAGGCCCUGCUUUUGUGGGGUGCUCGAGUGGCGAACGGGUGAGUAACACGUGAGUAACCUGCCCUUGACUUUGGGAUAACUUCAGGAAACUGGGGCUAAUACCGGAUAGGAGCUCCUGCUGCAUGGUGGGGGUUGGAAAGUUUCGGCGGUUGGGGAUGGACUCGCGGCUUAUCAGCUUGUUGGUGGGGUAGUGGCUUACCAAGGCUUUGACGGGUAGCCGGCCUGAGAGGGUGACCGGCCACAUUGGGACUGGGAUACGGCCCAGACUCCUACGGGAGGCAGGAGUGGGGAAUAUUGCACAAAGGGCGGAAGCCGGAUGCAGCAACGCCGCGUGCGGGAUGACGGCCUUCGGGUUGUAAACCGCUUUCGCCUGUGACGAAGCGUGAGGGACGGUAAUGGGUAAAGAAGCACCGGCUAACUACGU